CGCCCAGCAACUUUUAUCCCUACCUCCUCGUGGUACCGGCCGGAACCUACGAGCAACCUUACGGAAGAUCGGGUAACCAACCCUGGUGGGAACUUUGGUCGUUGGCUGACAGGGAAGG
rfam:Aedes albopictus isolate Foshan contig56235, whole genome shotgun sequence.